AGCUAAUAAGAAUACUUUUCUCAUAUAAUCCCGGUAAUAUGGUCUGGGAGUUUCUACAGAAGAGCCGUAAAUUCUUCUACUAUGAGCUGAAGUUUCCUUUUC
rnacentral:ncRNA from 2 species